UGCAAGUCGAGUGCGCGCCUGUAGCAAUACAGGUGGCGCACGGCGCACGGGUGCGUAACACGUGGGUAAUCUGCCCUUCGAUGGGGAAUAACUCGCCGAAAGGCGAGCUAAUUCCGCAUAACAUUCCGGGGACUUUGGCCCUUGGAUUCAAAGGCGUAAGUCGUCGGAGGAGGAGCCCGCGCACGAUUAGCUAGUUGGUGAGGUAAUGGCUCACCAAGGCUGUGAUCGUUAGCUGGUCUGAGAGGAUGGCCAGCCACACUGGAACUGAGACACGGUCCAGACUCCUACGGGAGGCAGCAGUGGGGAAUCUUGCACAAUGGGCGAAAGCCUGAUGCAGCGACGCCGCGUGGGGGAUGAAGCUUUUCGGAGUGUAAACCCCUUUCGACCCGGACGAAUGCCCCGCAAGGGGACUGACGGUACGGGUAUAAGAAGCCCCGGCUAACUACGUGCCAGCAGCCGCGGUAAGACGUAGGGGGCCAGCGUUGCUCGGAAUUACUGGGUGUAAAGGGUUCGUAGGCGGUGUGGCAAGUCGGGAGUGAAAUCUCUGGGCUCAACCCAGAGUCUGCUUCCGAAACUGCUGUGCUUGAGUGUGGGAGAGGCGCGUGGAAUUGCAGGUGUAGCGGUGAAAUGCGUAGAUAUCUGCAGGAACACCCGUGGCGAAAGCGGCGCGCUGGACCACUACUGACGCUGAGGAACGAAAGCUAGGGGAGCAAACAGGAUUAGAUACCCUGUAGUCCUAGCCCUAAACGAUCAGGACUUGGGGUGCCGCCCGUUCGGGCGUCGUCCCGGAGCUAACGCGUUAAGUCCUGACGGGGAGUAGGUCGCAAGACUGAAACUCAAAGGAAGACGGGGGCCC
rnacentral:rRNA from 1 species